rnacentral:rRNA from 1 species
AGAGUUUGAUCCUGGCUCAGGAUGAACGCUGGCGGCGUGCCUAAUACAUGCAAGUCGAGCGAACGGACGAGAAGCUUGCUUCUCUGAUGUUAGCGGCGGACGGGUGAGUAACACGUGGAUAACCUACCUAUAAGACUGGGAUAACUUCGGGAAACCGGAGCUAAUACCGGAUAAUAUUUUGAACCGCAUGGUUCAAAAGUGAAAGACGGUCUUGCUGUCACUUAUAGAUGGAUCCGCGCUGCAUUAGCUAGUUGGUAAGGUAACGGCUUACCAAGGCAACGAUGCAUAGCCGACCUGAGAGGGUGAUCGGCCACACUGGAACUGAGACACGGUCCAGACUCCUACGGGAGGCAGCAGUAGGGAAUCUUCCGCAAUGAGCGAAAGCCUGACGGAGCAACGCCGCGUGAGUGAUGAAGGUCUUCGGAUCGUAAAACUCUGUUAUUAGGGAAGAACAUAUGUGUAAGUAACUGUGCACAUCUUGACGGUACCUAAUCAGAAAGCCACGGCUAACUACGUGCCAGCAGCCGCGGUAAUACGUAGGUGGCAAGCGUUAUCCGGAAUUAUUGGGCGUAAAGCGCGCGUAGGCGGUUUUUUAAGUCUGAUGUGAAAGCCCACGGCUCAACCGUGGAGGGUCAUUGGAAACUGGAAAACUUGAGUGCAGAAGAGGAAAGUGGAAUUCCAUGUGUAGCGGUGAAAUGCGCAGAGAUAUGGAGGAACACCAGUGGCGAAGGCGACUUUCUGGUCUGUAACUGACGCUGAUGUGCGAAAGCGUGGGGAUCAAACAGGAUUAGAUACCCUGGUAGUCCACGCCGUAAACGAUGAGUGCUAAGUGUUAGGGGGUUUCCGCCCCUUAGUGCUGCAGCUAACGCAUUAAGCACUCCGCCUGGGGAGUACGACCGCAAGGUUGAAACUCAAAGGAAUUGACGGGGACCCGCACAAGCGGUGGAGCAUGUGGUUUAAUUCGAAGCAACGCGAAGAACCUUACCAAAUCUUGACAUCCUUUGACAACUCUAGAGAUAGAGCCUUCCCCUUCGGGGGACAAAGUGACAGGUGGUGCAUGGUUGUCGUCAGCUCGUGUCGUGAGAUGUUGGGUUAAGUCCCGCAACGAGCGCAACCCUUAAGCUUAGUUGCCAUCAUUAAGUUGGGCACUCUAAGUUGACUGCCGGUGACAAACCGGAGGAAGGUGGGGAUGACGUCAAAUCAUCAUGCCCCUUAUGAUUUGGGCUACACACGUGCUACAAUGGACAAUACAAAGGGCAGCGAAACCGCGAGGUCAAGCAAAUCCCAUAAAGUUGUUCUCAGUUCGGAUUGUAGUCUGCAACUCGACUACAUGAAGCUGGAAUCGCUAGUAAUCGUAGAUCAGCAUGCUACGGUGAAUACGUUCCCGGGUCUUGUACACACCGCCCGUCACACCACGAGAGUUUGUAACACCCGAAGCCGGUGGAGUAACCUUUUAGGAGCUAGCCGUCGAAGGUGGGACAAAUGAUUGGGGUGAAGUCGUAACAAGGUAGCCGUAUCGGAAGGUGCGGCUGGAUCACCU